rnacentral:lncRNA from 1 species
CCGGGAGCCGUGGGGCGGCAUGGAGGGGCUGGUUGUCGCCGCCGGCGGGGACGUCUCCCUGCACAACUUCAGCGCGAGGCUGUGGGAGCAGCUGGUCCACUUCCACGUCAUGCGGCUGACGGACUCGCUGUUCCUGUGGGUGGGGGCCACGCCGCACCUGCGCAACCUCGCCGUGGCCAUGUGCAGCCGCUACCUGAUCCUGGAGAAACUAAAACCUUCUGCACAGCAAAGGAAACAAUCAACAGACUGAAAAGACAACCUACAGAAUGAGAGAAAGUCUUUGCAAACUAUUCAUCUGACAGGGGAUUAACAUCUAGAAUAUAUGAGGAACUCAAACACCUCAACAGCAAAAAAAGAAACAACCUGAUUUUUAAAAUGGACAAUAAUCUGAAUAGACAUUUCUUAAAAGACACAAAUGGCCAACAAACAUAUAUUAAAAAAAGCUCAACAUCACUAAUCAUCAGAAAACACAAAUCAAAACCACAAUGAGGUAUCAACUCACCUCAGUUAGGAUGGCUAUUAUCAAAAAGACACACACACAAAAAUGCUGGCAAGGAUGUGGAGAAAGGGAACUCUUAUAUGAUGUUGGUGGGAAUGUAAACUAGUACAUCAACUAUGGAGAACAGUACAGAGGUUCCUCAAAAAACUACAAACAGAAUUACCUCAUGACCCAGCAAUCCCACUACUGGUGUUUAUC